rnacentral:rRNA from 1 species
AUUGAACGCUGGCGGCAGGCUCAACACAUGCAAGUCGAGCGGGGUGAUGGUGCUUGCACUAUCACUUAGCGGCGGACGGGUGAGUAAUGCUUAGGAAUCUGCCUAUUAGUGGGGGACAACAUCUCGAAAGGGAUGCUAAUACCGCAUACGUCCUACGGGAGAAAGCAGGGGAUCACUUGUGACAUUGCGCUAAUAGAUGAGCCUAAGUCGGAUUAGCUAGUGGGUGGGGUAAAGGCCUACCAAGGCGACGAUCUGGAGCGGGUCUGAGAGGAUGAUCCGCCACACUGGGACUGAGACACGGCCCAGACUCCUACGGGAGGCAGCAGUGGGGAAUAUUGGAAAAUGGGGGGAACCCUGAUCCAGCCAUGCCGCGUGUGUGAAGAAGGCCUUAUGGUUGUAAAGCACUUUAAGCGAGGAGGAGGCUCUUUUGGUUAAUACCCAAGAUGAGUGGACGUUACUCGCAGAAUAAGCACCGGCUAACUCUGUGCCAGCCGCCGCAGUAA